GACGAACGCUGGCGGCGUGCCUAACACAUGCAAGUCGAACGAAGAAUGUUUUCGGAAUAUUCUUAGUGGCGGACGGGUGAGUAACGCGUGAACAAUCUGCCCCGUACAAAGGGAUAGCCUCGGGAAACCGGGAUUAAAACCAUAUAACGCUUUAGUACCGCAUGGUAAUAAAGUCAAAUCGAUUAAGAGGUAUGGGAUGAGUUCGCGUCUGAUUAGCUAGUUGGUGAGGUAAGGGCUCACCAAGGCGACGAUCAGUAGCCGGCCUGAGAGGGUGAACGGCCACACUGGAACUGAGACACGGUCCAGACUCCUACGGGAGGGCAGCAGUGGGGAAUAUUGCACAAUGGAGGGAACUCUGAUGCAGCGACGCCGCGUGAGUGAAGAAGGUCUUCGGAUCGUAAAACUCUGUCCUUGGUGAAGAAAAGGACGGUAGCCAAGGAGGAAGCCCCGGCUAACUACGUG
rnacentral:rRNA from 1 species